rfam:Nematostella vectensis strain CH2 x CH6 NEMVEscaffold_278_Cont22105, whole genome shotgun sequence.
GACUCCGUGGCGCAAUGGUAGCGCGUCUGACUCCAUAUCAGAAGGUUGCGUGUUCAAAUCACGUCGGGGUCA